AAGCUGACCACAGCAACCAAACUUCACUUCCUCUUCUCUACUUCGAUCCAUGCCCUCGCCCUCUCUCUCUCUCUCUCUCUCUCUCUCUCUUGAUUGGAAGAAGGAGAGCUGCUAGAAGACCUCCUUAUCAUUCAGAUCCAGAUCCAAAUCAGUUCAAGGAAAUGAUCGAGGAGUUAUGGGCAACUCAAACUGCUGAGUCCUCUCAUAGUAGCACUGCCCGAGACGAUCUCUUAUCCUAGAUAUUGGGACCAGAAAAUCCAGGUCGUCACCGCAAGAUGGGGUUAGGUCCCACAGCUUCCACGUUAUGGGGCACGAGAAAUACCAUUGCAGAACUCAGGAGGGAGACUGAUGAGUUAGGACGACACAUGAAUGAGCAGGUAGAGCAACUGGUGGAGUGGAUGAAAGAACAGAUGGCUAAGCAUCUAGAGCAGAUGGAGCAAUGGAUGACAGAGCGAAUAACGGAGCAACGGAUGACAGAGCGAAUAACGGAGCAGAUGAUGGCACGAAUGAGAGAUACUAUGAACUCAUUGGCUGCAACGGACCAAACUUCAGGCAAUGUACUAAAUGUAGAGGCUAACUCAGUAUCCACUCCUAGGGAUAGACCCGAGGCUGAGGGACCUCAGUCGAAGGUUCCGAAGAAUCAAUAGGUCAAGUCGUAUUUAUGUGUAUUUAUGUGUAUGACAUGCGAAAGAAUCCAAGAGUUGUCUUGAAAUGAGGGUUGCAGAUUGGAAAAAGGCGAUUCCUUGCUCCUGCUUUUUGCGAAACUGCAACUAAAGUUCUUGUCCUGAUGAUGGUUUCAAAAACAGGCAAUGCCAAGAACAACCACCUAUCAACUUCUUUAUUGCUCAGUUCUAGUUUCUGGAGCGACUACUUGUCGUCCAUGGGCACUGAUGCUAUAAGAGGAUUACCCAAAUGGUAAAGUUGAGGAUGUUGAAUUGCCUGAGAAAGUGGACGUUCUGAUUUCUGGGGCUAUAUGAUUUAGAAGGGUGUUCUCAAAUGACCAUGAUGUAACUUCUGCAGUGUUAACAAGGUAUGAUUAUGAAAUAAUUUGAUUCAAGUGAUUGAAUUUGGUAAUUUACCUCAUGAACUGUGAAUCCCACUGUGGAUGGAGCAUAUCACUAAAAAUCCACUUACCAAAAGCAAUUCUAACCAUCCAAUUAAUUGCUAUCAAAUGGAUGGUUCAAAGUAAAAUAGUGAGUGGCUCAUAUUUGAAGAGAGAGAAAAUCAUAUGGUUAAACUUAUUUUCUCACUGUACUUUUUCACUUAUGCUCCAUACACAAUUGAGUCAACGAUUUCAGUGGUCCAGAUUGCAUUACGAGUAUGCCAUGUUAUAUGCAAUUUCUCACUCGUGUGCCAUAUUUCUAAUCACAUCUAUAGUACAAACUAUUUUCUUUGAAUUCAAAUUACAAACAUUUAUAAUAGAUGUUUAUGAUAGAUUAUUCUCAUUUCUGGAGUCAAUGAAGUACACUUCUGUAAUAUCAAUCCACUGCGACUGAUAUAUUGAGUUUAUAAUCAUCACAGUGGGAGGAGCUUCAAGGUGGGUUUGAGUAACUGGAUUUGCAGCAUGUGUUCAUAUUUGGCAGGUGAUUCAUCCAGCACUGAAUGUUUUAGCUAAUCUUGUUUGCCCUCCUCCUUCGAUCAGCAACAAACCUUCUGUGCUUGCACAAGGUCAGCAAUCUAUAUCAGUUCA